rnacentral:misc_RNA from 1 species
UAUAUCUUUUGGACAGCAUUGUCAAGAACAUUGGCCGUGAAUAUAUUGGGUACUUCUCAUCACGUUUGCCUGAGGUUUUCUGUGAGGCAUACAGACAAAUUCACCCUAACCUGUAUCAUUCAAUGCAUCACCUCUUUGGAACAUGGUCUACAGUGUUUCCACCUUCUGUGCUUAGCAAGUUUGAGACUCAACUGCAAUUUUCUACACAAGUUAAUAGUCAAUCCUCUGGCUUGUCUUCC